ACUGGGCAUGGUGGCGCAUGCCUGUAAUCCCAGCACUUGGGGAAGCUGAGGUAGGAGAAUUGCUUGAGGCCAGGAAUUUGAGACCAGCCUGGGCAACAUAGCAAGACCCUGUCUCUU
ensembl:misc_RNA Metazoa_SRP Metazoan signal recognition particle RNA